CGGGGUGUAGCUCAGCUUGGCCGGAGCGCUUGGUUUGGGACCAAGAGGUCGGUGGUUCAAAUCCACUCACCCCGA
rnacentral:tRNA from 1 species